CAAGUUAUGAAUUAUCAUUUCAUAAUAUAUCCAUUUACACAAGUUCCCUGUUUAUAAGGAUACAUGAGAAAGUCAGUUAAGCCUAAACAGAAUUCCUGCCUACCAAGAACAGCUAACCACGCCUGUAACAACCUUAUAACAGCUCUAACUGCUUUGGUGCCUUCCUUCUUCUGCUUCGAAUGUUCAUCUGCUUCCAACGCCAAGCACCAUUUCACUAAAUGUUCUGGUUCAUAUCAUUAUUUGCAACAAAAUUGGACUCUGAAUUGCAGAAAAGUUGAACUAUGCAACAAAAUUGAACUCUGAAUUGCAAUUAAGAAGCAAAACUGGACUCAAUAAUGAAUCCAAAGUGUUACAAUUCCAGGAGGCAGGAGGAAAUGAUACCUGAACAGCCAGUUGAGCUUCUGAAUCGCAAUUGAGAAGCAAAUUGGAGAAGUAAGCUUCUAAAAUGGGAAUCGUGGCUGUUUGAUCGAGUUCUGAUUUCAAUCUGGAGAAGAAAGACACAGCCGCUACAUCUCCAUUCUUUGGCGAUUGAAAGGAAGCUGUUGUGGUCACACCACCACCAAAGUACAAUCAUCUGGAAUGUAAUGGGGUGUGGGGGGAGGUGGGGGGGCUUCCUUGGGUGAGCAAAGAAAACCAAGAAAAAUGACAAGAAAACCUAAACCAAGAAUAGUAGAGAAGGCUUGGGUUCUUUCCAAGAAAAGUAAUCAGUGACCUUCAAGCAAUGGUGAAACCAGGUUGAAGACAUGCUUUUGGC
rnacentral:misc_RNA from 1 species